CCUACGGGAGGCAGCAGUGGGGGAUAUUGCACAAUGGGGGAAACCCUGAUGCAGCGACGCCGCGUGUGGGAAGACGGUCCUCUGGAUUGUAAACCACUGUCCUCAGGGACGAAGAUGACGGUACCUGGGGAGGAAGCUCCGGCUAACUACGUGCCAGCAGCCGCGGUAAUACGUAGGGAGCGAGCGUUGUCCGGAAUUACUGGGUGAAAGGGGAGCGUAGGCGGGACUGCAAGUUGGGUGUAAAAUCUACCGGCUCAACCGGUAGCCGCACUCAAAACUGAAGUUCUUGAGUGAAGUAGAGGCAGGCGGAAUUCCUGGUGUAGCGGUGAAAUGCGUAGAUAUUAGGAGGAACACCAGUGGCGAAGGCGGCCUGCUGGGCUUUUACUGACGCUGAGGCUCGAAAGUGUGGGGAGCAAACAGGAUUAGAUACCCUGGUAGUC
rnacentral:rRNA from 1 species